rnacentral:rRNA from 1 species
CAGCAGCCGCGGUAAUACGUAGGUGGCAAGCGUUGUCCGGAAUUAUUGGGCGUAAAGCGCGCGCAGGCGGAUAGGUCAGUCUGUCUUAAAAGUUCGGGGCUUAACCCCGUGAGGGGAUGGAAACUGUAUGCCUUGAGUGCAGGAGAGGAAAGCGGAAUUCCCAGUGUAGCGGUGAAAUGCGUAGAUAUUGGGAGGAACACCAGUGGCGAAGGCGACUUUCUGGUCUGUAACUGACGCUGAUGUGCGAAAGCGUGGGGAUCAAACAGGAUUAGAUACCCCAGUAGUCCCUGUCUCUUAUACA